CUGUCAUUUUAAGAUGGAGCAGCGUCUGUCUCCAAGUCUCUCCUCUGUUUCUUAACAUUUAAAAGUACACCUAUUUAUACCUUAGGUGUCUCCAUUUUAGGUUACUGUAGUUCAACUAUGAAAAAGUAACACUUCUUUUACUUUAUUCAAUUUAGGUCCUCCCUUAAUUUGGCAAACAUACAAGGCCAUAACUAAAGGGUGUAUACGUCAUGGAAAUUUUCCUGACUUAGUUCAAGAUGGCAUCUUAAAG
rnacentral:lncRNA from 1 species